UUCUACCUUCUUAGCUUGCAAGAAUACCCAGUCUCUAGGACCAUUGACUCCCAAUCAGCAUAUGGUAAAAGAGGCCAUUAGUGUCCAUUGUGACCUCUGCUCCUCCUCUCAGCAUCCUCACUACAUCCAUUUGGACACAGGGGAGGCCUUGACACCAGCUGACAAUGAGCCCUUUCCUCAGGGCUCUGGAAAAUCUCUACCUUCCCAGGGAUUUGUGAAGUUUUCUUUUAGGCAGACAGCUGCCAGGCGUCACAUGUGCAACACAGAUAGUUCCAGGCAUCACUGCAGGAUGAGUC
rnacentral:lncRNA from 10 species